CGACUCCCUUUCACACACAUGGAGCCUGUUCUUGGCAUCCAGUUUGUGUUUUUAAGAAUGAAUCCAGCAACGCUAUAGGUUUGCACGAAUCUGAGCCAAGCGUGAGGUCUCCCCUUGCUGGGAGCAGCAAUUUCAGCUCCUCCGUCCUUGGACAGAGGCAGGGGUCACAGGCCAACAGCUCAUUCGCCCACUGUGCUGGCCCACUGUGUAGAACACUACCCAUGGGUCCAGUACUCCCUGUGGAAUCAGAUCUGCCAGCUACAUCCUACAUCCUGCUGUAAGCCUCCCGCUGACUCCCGUGUCUCUGUGUCUCCAUGGACAGGUCAUUUCAGAGCAAUGAGUUGGG
rnacentral:lncRNA from 1 species